rnacentral:lncRNA from 1 species
UUCCUUGAUGGAGACAAGCACCUACAGGUGAAAACCAUCUCCUGUCAAAGCCAAGGAAUCCUAUUCAGGGUUUCUGACUUGCCUUCCCUUUGAGCUGGCUAUUCAGUACCUUAUUUUUUUUAAUGCUCCUGCUGUAAAACAGUUGCAGUGCAUGAGUCAGAGCAGUGCAGCAGCUCCUGCUUCACUGGGACAUGCUCAGGUAGCACAGCCCAGGGUACCCGAUGUGCCUGCUUGUGAGGGUCAGGAGUCCUGAGCUGAAUCACUGAACGUUUGCCAAUGCAAAUGUGUUAAAUCUUCUGGGAAGUGUUUAACGUGCGUGCUCCAACACUCAAACUUCCAAAUUUGUGCAGAAGAACGGCUUGCUUGGACUCAUUGCUCAUCUGCAAGAGGUGCUCGCUUGCCUUGUCCAGCUGGCAGCCUUCCUGGGUGCUGCAUCCAAGUCCCCAGGCAGCAGUCUCACAUCACAUCACCCCAGGGGAAGGACCCGCGCUGUGCAAGGGAGGAGAUUGGAAAGGAGCUUUCAAAGAACCCAAGAGAAAGGAGGGCACGACAGCGUGGAGGCUGCUUUGUUUGAGGAGUGUCAGUGUGUGGCUCUUGCUGCUGGAUGGCUGCUCCAAACUGGGCCAAGCUGAGUCCUGCCUUGUGUUGCCCAAAUGGCUUCUCCAUGGCCAGAAGAAGCCAGGUUUGGAGGCCCAACCUUCUGGAGAUCAGCCCCCAGCGCCUUGCCUAGGGAUUUCUGGGAAGCAGGAGCAGCCCACUAGUCCCUUGAGCCAUCUAGUGGUGCCUUCCUUGACUAUUGAGCAGAACAUCACACUGAAAAAACCAUAAACAGCAUCUCAUUAAUGUGCAAACUGUGAUUAGUGCCAGAAGCAGGCCAACCACAAUGAAAGCAUCAGUGCUUUUAGUGGGGUUACCAAAGCAACAGAAGUUCUGGCCUGGAAAUGGCAGACAAGAUAAAGAUGUGGAUGCCAACAAAGGAUGCUCAAGGCUAAGAAGAUUGGUCUGUUGUGAUCUGUUUUGUGCUUUUGUCUUGGUGUUUGCAGCCCUUUAUGGAUCCUCGCUGAAAGAGGCUGGGAUUUAAAAAGCAAAGCUGAACUUUCCGACCUGAAACCUCAAACCCUUUUCUGAUGGUUUUUGUAACUGGAAAGCGGAAAUAGAGCCUUCAGUAAUUCAAAAGAGAUUUAAUGAUCAAAGCUGCAAUUAAAAGCGUGGUGAGUCAUCUUACAGUCGUCCAUGUGCUAAAACACACAGGCUGUGCAAGAGAUCAUGUUGUCAUGGCUGCUUUUACUCAAAGUGAGGACAUAGGAGCUGCUAUUACUUCCAGCUUCAGAAACUGAGUUCUGCAGACCUGUGUUUAUAGAGCAGAAGAAAAGGCAACAGUCCUGACUCCCCCAUUUGUGUAUUUUAUUCAGUAGUUCUGUCUCCAACAUCUGAAUUCAUUACCCUGCUUUAUUACUUUUCUCCUUCUUUCAGAGUGUCUGCUCUCAGUAGGAAUCUUGAAUUUUUUUUUAAUUUGCACUAACAAAUUGCCCACCAAAACAAAUACAGAAGAGCUGAUCUUUGGAGUAUUGUGGGGUUUUUUUGCUUUCUGCAGCAUGCACUAACAAUGAAAUAUUUAACUGAACUUUUCACAGUAUGUGCAUUUUCUCAAAUUAAAAUUGCAAAAGACAAGGAAAUGAAGAUAAAAAUACCCAACCAAGCUGUUUCUCAGAAACUCUCACAAGUAAUCUAAUAUUUCCCUUUAAAUCCUGUUGUUUUAUUCUGCUCAAUAGAAAAAGUAGUGCUGAAUAGAAUUUAGUUUUAGUAAAGGAUAAAAUUUUUCCUGCAAAUAUUUAUCCUGUAACACACAAAAGCAACUAAAAGGAAGCAGGAGAAUUGAUAACUCUCUACUGGAAAAAUGUAAUAAAAAUUUUGAUAAUCUGCUACGAGUCUUGCUU